rnacentral:rRNA from 1 species
UACAGAGGGUGCGAGCGUUAAUCGGAAUUACUGGGCGUAAAGCGUGCGUAGACGGUUAUUUAAGUCAGAUGUGAAAGCCCCGGGCUCAACCUGGGAAUUGCAUUUGAGACUGAAUAGCUAGGGUACGGUAGAGGGAAGUGGAAUUUCCGGUGUAGCGGUGAAAUGCGUAGAUAUCGGAAGGAACAUCAGUGGCGAAAGCGACUUCCUGGACCAGUACCGACGUUCAGGCACGAAAGCGUGGGGAGCAAACAGG